rnacentral:tRNA from 1 species
GCUAACGUGGUAUUGUGGUUUGUGCAUCGGACUUUGACUCUGAAGAGCAGGUUUCAAAUCCCUGCUUAGUC